ACCACAUAUCCCAGAAAAAUAACAAGCAGAAAUCAAAAUACUGACCGAUUGUCAGACAGUUUACCAUCAUGUUCAAUGCUGGAGGGGAAUUCGGUAGAUCAACUGAUGAAAAAUAUUGACAGCGUGAAGUCUGUUGAAAGCUCUUUAGGUAGGUCUUGCAUUGGUGUGAAAAACAAAAUAGUCAGAUUUGUACAACCAAGCAGAGUGUUUGUACCUUUAUCAAAUAAAGAAAAGUCUGUACCUACUUCACCCAAGAAAUCAGAGUUCGCGUAAACGAAUCCAUUGAUUAUGAAGCAACGCCUAUAAUUAUAGGUUUAAGGCCGAGAGUCGGAAAAGAAGUCUAAAGGGUAAUAAUCGCAAAGUUAAGAAACACUGUAAUGAUAUUUCUAUUACCAAUUUAUUUGGGGAUAAAAGGUAAGAGAGACAGAACAAAAUUUUUAAAAAGAAGUAAUGAAUCUUUUUUCAAUGUACUUUUGUAGAAAGGAAUUUGAACCAGAAGAAACUUGUCUGGAUUUACCGAACUUACCAAUGCAACAGAAUAUUCAGAAUC